CGGCCCAGUGGCCUAAUGGCAAGGCGCUACUUUCCGGCUAUCAAAGCAAGUCUGGUAGAGAUUGCAGGUUCGAGUCCUGCCUGGGUCGC